UGUACUGAUUCUCAAUCUGCUUUUCGGUCCUUCCAUACGCCUCAGCAAGCGCCUUAAUAAUAGAAGCAUCGCCAAUUCCCAAUUCUAACCCUGCAUGAGCUGGAGCAAUUCUGUUUGCAGAUAAAUAAACAACUGAAACAAGAUCCUCAGGUGCGACGUGUAUAACAGUCCUCAGCAGAUUGUACACAAUGUCAGUCAUCACAAUCCUCCCACUCUCAGCGUCAAUCAUGUCAAACGCCAAAGAGAGUAACAAAAACGGCACAGGUUUAUCUUUCUUCCAGCAAGCAACUUCACUUGGAGCGAAACUCGACGGUUUCUUCUUCAGCUGCGGAACUCGUUCCUUCAAUUUAGAGAUCAAGUCCUUAGGAGAAGAUGAAGUGUUACGGAUCUUACUCGGCGGUUCUUCCUGAACAGUUUCAUUAGGCUGCUUAACGGUUUCAAUGGUUUCUAAGGUUUUGACGUUGCUAUUAGGGUUUUGAGCGGGUGCGGAGAGUGUGGAUUGAGAAAUUGAAAGGGAUUAUUGCAGAAGUUGUUAGAGAAACCGUUAUGAAAUCGGUUAGGUUCAAAUUUUGUUCAAAUUGUUUGUUAUCAGUUAGGAAGUGAUUAUUUCUGUUAUCAAACUUGCAGGGUAAUUUAUUGGAGAAAAAAAAUGGAGGUUUUGAAGUGAAGGUGUAUUAGAGGGAAGUGAAGGGCAGUUUCGAUUGGUUGACCAUGGAAUCUUGCUGGCUUUUGGCUUGGAUUAUGCAGGUGCCGCUUUGCUGCUAUUGUUUUGGCUGCAGCUGGCUGGUCGUUUGCAGUUCCCGCGGUUACCGGCGUCUAUUGCUUAAUCUUCAUUUUGCAGGUUAUGGAUUCCGGUGCUACAGGUCCUGAACUGAUAUUCCUUAAAGGUCCGAUUAUGCUUCCUCAAUUAUGAUGGUAGUGGAAAUUAUUGCUCCUAAUUACACUCGAUUCCCUGCUCGAUAAACCAAGAAUGCUUCAAUUCCUUCAGGUUUUCUUGGUAGCUACCGUUUGGAUGAUAGCUUCGCGGUUCUCUCGGUCUUGCUGAAGGAUCCUGGCACUGAUUUAGCACUUGUAGCUUAUGCCCUCUUCAUUUCAUUUCAUCAGGAUGUAUAGUAACUCCUUGGCUUAUGUAAAUCACUACUAGUUUAAUGUUUGCAUCAUUUAUGUAAUGGUUGGAUGCAUGGUGGGAACAUAAUUUAUAUAUGGAAUUGGGAUGUGAUUGUUUUGGCAAGGUGAUUGUAAUUUGAACUGUCAAUUGAAACGCUUAGAUUUGGAUACACUUGUGCAUGAUUGAAACGAAGUUUUGGAUUAAUGUAUUGUGAAUGGAUUUUGACAA